GUGCACCGGUGGUGCUCUGGGGGGACUCCCCCCAGGUGGAGCAGCCGGUGACGAGGCCACCCUGUCUCCUCCUUGAACCUCAGGGUCUUUCGGGGGCUCCACGUCCCUGGGUGGAGGAGCGUCCUUCAUGGAGGCCUUCAGCUGGACUCCGUUUAAGUGAACUUCGACCUCCUGCGUCUCCCUUAGUCGCUUCGAGCGUCUCGGCAUCUUCUUCUUGUCGGAAAUAAUGGUGGAACAGUAGCUUAAAACUAACGUUCCCACAGACGGCGCCAAACUGUUGACGGUAAGAACUCGUCAACGAAGUUAAGUUGGAAAAAUUAUCAAAUUGAAAUUGCUAAUUCGGAAGCUAUGAAAACUUGAACAAUGACUCAAGAACAAUGGAAUAACAGCAAUGGAGAAUUCAGUAUCUCAUUCACACUAAUGUCUCUGCUACAGUAAAAUUUCCAACCCCCUCUCAGGUGGCCUUCGAAUUCAAUUUAUAGUAGGCUCUAACGGCCUUAGGUACAUAGUGGUCCAGGGGACCAAGAGGUACAAACGUACUGUACUAGGGAAGUGGCUUCAGAGGUUGUGGCUGUACAUCCCGUACAGGGGCAGGUGUCAGGAGGAUGUCUCCACUACUUGUCUGUACCCCUUCCUGAGGCGUGGUAGCAGGCGUGUUGGCGCAGGAGGUAGUGGUGUCGGCUCUGACCUAUGACCGUAGACGUACGGACCACGAUCCUCACUGGUACUGGCAUCCGUACCUGGUACCUGGUCGUACAAACAUGUCUCCUUUGACUCACACUAAGCAUAGGGACUUUGAAGUGUGAAAAAGGGGAUCUUCGGUGUCCGUAUUGGCCGUGGCGUUGAAUAGGGGUCUUGGGCCCAUACACGUUAAGUCAUGGGGCGUCGGCCUCCUGAGAAGAUUAUGGGCUGAUGGACCUCCCGGGGCGUGCGCGCGCGAGACCUUGCACGGCCUUGCGCAUGGGGCGCCGUAGACGGCCCCGUGGCCCCCCCAUGGCCUUGCGCAUGGGGCGCCUUAGACGGCCUCGCGACCCCCUUAUGGCCUCGCGCAUGGGGCGCCUUAGAUGGCCUCGCGACCCCCUCUUGGCCUCGCGCACGGGGCGCCUUAGACGGCCUCGCGACCCCCUUAUGGCCUCGCGCAUGGGGCGCCGUAGACGGCCUCGCGGCCCCUCUUGGCCUCGCGCAUGGGGCGCCGUAGUCGGCCUCGCGGCCCCUCUUGGCCUCGCGCAUGGGACGCCUUAGACGGCCUUAUAUUUUCUCUUGAUGAGAUUAUGAGCAUCAACAAUGGUCAAGGGGUUGCAAAGGUUCCAAGGGAGCAAGGACCAAGAACAUUAACAGACUAUGUACUUCUUACUGUUAUAGGAGUGCAUUAAUGCAUCAAACCUCCAACCAUUGCUACAAACAAUUUUGAGAUUAAGCCAGCAAUCCUUCAAAUGGUCCAAUCAACAGUUCAGUUUGGAGGUAUGCCAACGGAGGACCCCAAUUUACACAUAGCUAAUUUUCUGGAGUUAUGUGCUACGUUCGAGAUGAAUGGGAUGAGCGAUGAUGCUAUAACAUUGAGGCGAAUUCUAUGACUACAUGGGAGGAGUUAGCUCAAAAGUUCCUUGCCAAGUUCUUUCCUCCAUCGAAGGCUGCAAAACUAAGGGGAGAGAUCAAUAAUUUUUACUAGAUGGAAGGAGAGUCCACUACACCAAAUACUCAUUUCCAUAACACAUGAAUAUAAUACUAAUAAAAAAGUAUUAUGCUAGAGUACUUAUAUUAGAGCACUUUAUGAAAAAACUGGUGGUAAUAAUAAAACCAUCCCGCCACUUAGCUUUUUUUUUCAUUUCAUUUGGGGCCAAUUCAUUUCCUUCAAUUCCUUCUCCUUUUUCCUCAUCAUUCUCUCUCCUCUCUCUCGGAUCUCUUUCUUCCACCAGACCUCUCUCCUUCACUCUUUCUCUCCAACCUUUGUCUUUGUGGAGACCGACCGCUACCUUCCCCUAAACGCGCGAGCUAGGGAUCUUCAAAGGCCGUCGAAGCUUCGACCAUGUGGGCCCAAGCCCUCACACGACACCAGCGGCGAAUGACGUCACCAGAGGCCAGCUCUUCUCCUCUUCCUUGUGUGCGGCCAAGCCUUCUUCUUCCCUGCGUGAGACACUUGAUUUUUCUCAUGAUAGGUUAGAACAGGAUGCUGUGCUUCUUGAAGAUGCUAGACAAGCUACCAAGUCAGGAGAAAAGAUGAAUAGAGAACAGUAUGGAGCUCUCAGAAGGAAAAUUGGAUUCCAGUGUGGCGGACCUCGAGAGAGAAGCUUACCCUGUUUUGGACGAACUGGGUAGAAAUAGAGGACGCUAACAUCUAUUCUCUUGACAGAUUAGUGGGCAGUUAAAAUCCUUGCAAAUUGUUGCACGCUUGACAGCAUAAAGAAAUGGUGAAAUUAGAAAAGCUGCUUUGAAUACUCUUGCCACUGGAUAUAAGAUUCUUGGUGAGGAUAUAUGGAGGUAUGUUGGGAAGCUAAUAGAUGCUCAAAAAAGCAUGUUGGAUGAUAGGUUUAAAUGGAAGGUUCGAGAGAUGGAAAAAAGGAAGGAAGGGAAGCCUGGCGAAGCCAGAGCUGCUUUGAGACGUUCUGUGAGGGAAAUUGGAUUGGAUGUAGCAGAGAAAAGUGGAGAGGUUACACGAUCUGUCUCUGGCCCAGUACUUCCAAGGUAUUAGAGGCUCCGCAUAGUGAUCAUUUAAUUGUUUGUUUUUAAUUUUUUAACAAGUUAUACAAAUUUUACUCAGACAUUUCCAUCACAUCUGUUGGCUUCAUUGCUAAUUUCUUUUAUUCUAUGAUGUUGGUAUCAUGAAAAACUAUGGGAAUGCUGACAUACAUGUGGAGAGACAACUUAUGCCCCGUGUUCUUGCUGGUACCAAUGGCCCCACUGAUUGGAAUGAAGCUUUGGAUAUUAUUUCUUUUGGUUCUCCUGAGCAGUCUAUUGAAGGAAUGAAAGUCGUGUGUCAUGAGCUGACACAAGCCACUAAUGAUCCAGAAGGCAAUGCAAUGGAUGAACUUAUUAAAGAUGCAGACAGACUUGUUUCAUGCCUUGCAAACAAGGUUGCCAAGACCUUUGAUUUCAGCUUGACAGGAGCAUCAUCUAGAUCUUGUAAAUCUGUUCUCAACACCCUCAUGCAGACAUUUCAAAACAAGAGACUGGCUUAUGCUGUCAAGGAAAGCACUAUUGAUAGUCUAAUUACUGAGCUCAAUCUAUGACUGUUGGAUGAGAGAGUUCCACAUAUGGAUGAUGGCAGCCAUCUUUUAAAAGCUUUGAGUGUUCUGAUGCUAAAUUUUCUGGAUAAUGCAGAUCGAACUUCAUCCUUUGUUGUUCUCAUCAAUCUCUUACGUCCAUUAGAUCCUUCAAGGUGGCCCUCACCUGCAUCAAAUGAGACAUUUGCUGUCAGAAAUCAGAAGUUCUCUAAUAUGGUUGUUAAAUGUUUGAUAAAACUUACAAAGGUUCUUCAAAGCACUAUUUAUGAAGUCGACCUUGAUCGCAUCCUUCAAAGCAUCCAUUUGUAUCUGCAAGACUUGGGGAUGGAAGAAAUUAGAAGACGGCAAUUUAUGAAAUUAUUGAAACCUGUCGUUCUCAUUUGAUAAUGCCCAAGUGCUUAUCUCCAAUUACUCAACAUGCCACAUGUUGACUUUGGAUUAAAAGUACUUGGUGCAAAUGCUAUGUCCAUUCCUGGCCUAUAUGGGUUUGUCCAGGAAAUGAUUAAAGAUCAAGUUGCAAACAUGUAUUUAUGGCUCAAAUAACUAGAAGUACAAAGUAUGGAUCCAACAAAGUAACGAUCUGAGCCCAAGGUAAGGCAUCUAGGACACUUAGCUGGUGGUGCUUUAACCAAUGCAUUGGGUGCUGGAAGAAAAUGUUUGGACUAUUAGGUACUGGUGUAGUGCUAUGAAUGUAUGCCCUGCCCUUAUUGUUGAGACAAGCAAUGCUUCUGAUCUCCAUGGAUAUACUGUUAGGGCUUUAUACAGGGAAUUCUAACAUCAUCUGAACAGGCUGAUAUGACCAUGUUAGAAGACGAACUACCAACAAAAAGAUGACUUUCAUCAGCUCUUGUCAAGGUGUAUUGAGAUGAUUUCUUUGGAGCAAUUCUUGACAACAUCUGUAGUUGAGGCCUUUAGAAUGAAAGAAUGUAUUUCACUAAUUUUUGUAUACAUUUCUUGUUUUGUAUUUAGUGAUAAAAGAAUCUGAAUUGGGCAUAAAUUAUGUUGUAAUAUGAUUUCUUAAGCCUAGACUAGUAGACUAAAUAUUGUAAUUACAUUUGAGUAAUUAAUAAAAA